ACGGAAGGCAGCAGUGGGGAAUAUUGGGCAAUGGGCGAAAGCCUGACCCAGCCAAGUAGCGUGAAGGAUGACUGCCCUAUGGGUUGUAAACUUCUUUUAUGCGGGAAUAAAAAGGAUUACGUGUAGUCUGUUGCAUGUACCGCAUGAAUAAGGAUCGGCUAAUUCCGUGCCAGCAGCCGCGGUAAUACGGAAGAUCCGAGCGUUAUCCGGAUUUAUUGGGUUUAAAGGGAGCGUAGGCGGGCCUUUAAGUCAGUGGUCAAAGCGUGUGGCUCAACCAUACCACGCCGUUGAUACUGGAGGCCUUGAGUGCACAUAAGGAUGGUGGAAUUCAUGGUGUAGCGGUGAAAUGCUUAGAUAUCAUGAAGAACUCCGAUCGCGAAGGCAGGUGUCCGGGGUGUAACUGACGCUGAGGCUCGAAAGUGCGGGUAUCAAACAGGAUUAGAUACCCUGGUA
rnacentral:rRNA from 1 species